UCAGAUAAGCAUCUCACUUACACCGAGAAGAUACUCAUGCAAAUUGGGUCACCCUGAGCCAAACAGCUAGCUAAACCACUUAAUAAAUUCAAAACAUUUACUAAAAUAAACCACACACAAAAACUAAACCAUUCUUUUACUUUAGUACGGGAGACGGAAAAAGUUCUUUCACGCGAUAGAAAUAGUACCGCAAGGGAAAGCUGAAAGAGAAAUGAAACAACCCAUAUAAGCACCAAAAAGCAAAGACUAAACCUUGUACCUUUUGCAUCAUGAUUUAGCCAGUAUAUUAAAGCAAAGAGACCUUUAGUUUUAAGCCCCGAAACCAGGUGAGCUACCCCGAGACAGCCUAUAUAAGGGCAAACCCGUCUCUGUGGCAAAAGAGUGGGAAGAGCUCCGGGUAGAAGUGAUAGACCUACCGAACCUGGUGAUAGCUGGUAGCCUAAGAAAUGAAUAAAAGUUCAGCCUCAGUCACCCCAAGUCAAAAAUAAUAACAGUAAGACCAAAAGAGAUAAGCAUGAGAGUUAGUUAAAUGGGGUACAGCCCUUUUAACCAAGAAUACAACCUUUUCAGGAGGAUAAAGAUCAUAAUAUUAAAAACACACUGUUCUAGUGGGCCUAAAAGCAGCCAACUAAACAGAAAGCGU
rnacentral:rRNA from 1 species